GUUUGCUGCAACGCAAAAUGGCGAAUCGGAUUCGAGACGCAGAUAGAAGCUAGCUGGUUUCCUCAAAAUGGACGGAACUUUCGAACGCGCGCGGAUGAAACCACCCCGCAGCCGCUGCUUCGUCUCGAAGAUUAAAUUCGCGACAAGACUGCGUCGAUCUUCGUGGCGAAGACGUCGAGCGAGAGGCCGGGUCCGGAUCGUAACUCGCGACGUCCCCGUGCAUUUGCAGGUGUCAUCGCAUUAUUGUAGGAUUUAAUCACAAGAUUUAUUCAAGCCGACGAAAAAACGUGAACUACAGCCUGAUUAUUUUUUUUAUACACAUAUAUUAUUCAAAAAGUGAUGGAACUGUAAACUGACAGAAUAAUAACGUGAGUUACAAGUUAAGUAAGGAAUAUCGUCGUUUUACUCCUCGUCAUCGUUCGUCCUUUGUGAAAUUGAAUCUUUGU